GGGCCCGCACAAGCGGUGGAGCAUGUGGAUUAAUUCGAAGCAACGCGAAGAACCUUACCAAGGCUUGACAUCCCUCUGAAUACUUAAGAAAUUAGGUAGGCCCUUCGGGGACAGAGGAGACAGGUGGUGCAUGGUUGUCGUCAGCUCGUGUCGUGAGAUGUUGGGUUAAGUCCCGCAACGAGCGCAACCCUUAUGUUCAGUUGCCAACAGAUAAUGCUGGGCACACUGGAGAGACUGCCGUGGAUAACACGGAGGAAGGUGGGGAUGACGUCAAAUCAUCAUGCCCUUUAUGCCUUGGGCCUCACACGUGCUACAAUGGCUCAUACAAAGCGAAGCAAGGCAGUGAUGCGGAGCAAAACGCAAAAAUGAGUCUCAGUUCGGAUUGAAGUCUGCAACCCGACUUCAUGAAGCUGGAAUCGCUAGUAAUCGACGAAUCAGCAUGUCG
rnacentral:rRNA from 1 species